GUAGUAGCAAAUACUCUAGCGAGACCCUGGAGGGCUGAUGCGGAGAAGGGUUUCGUGUGAACAGCCGUUGCACACGAGUCAGUCGAUCCUAAGCCCUAGGGGAAACCCGAUGCAUGACUCGGCCUAUGGCCGCAUCGGGCGAAAGGGAAUCCGGUCCCUAUUCCGGAACCCGGUCGCGGAACCGUUUCACGUCGGGCCCCGCUUCAAUGCGCAAGCUCGUCGGGGUAACCCAACAUGUCCCGGAGAAGCCGUCGGGAGGUCGGGGAAGAGUUUUCUUUUCUGUUUGAGCGUUCGGGUUCCCUGGAAUUGCCUAGCGCAGAGAGAGGGAAUGGAGCGCGUAGAGCACCGCAGUUGCGGCGGUGUCCCGACAUGCCCCUCGGACCUUGAAAAUCCGGGCGCGGGCCACGUGGAGGUGUCGCGCCGGUUCGUACCCAUAUCCGCAGCAGGUCUCCAAGGUGAAGAGCCUCUAGCCGAUAGAAGAAUGUAGGUAAGGGAAGUCGGCAACUUGGAUCCGUAACUUCGGAAUAAGGAU
rnacentral:rRNA from 1 species